rnacentral:rRNA from 1 species
AACAAGGUCUCCGUUGGUGAACCAGCGGAGGGAUCAUUACCGAGUUUACAACUCCCAAACCCCUGUGAACAUACCACUUGUUGCCUCGGCGGAUCAGCCCGCUCCCGGUAAAACGGGACGGCCCGCCAGAGGACCCCUAAACUCUGUUUCUAUAUGUAACUUCUGAGUAAAACCAUAAAUAAAUCAAAACUUUCAACAACGGAUCUCUUGGUUCUGGCAUCGAUGAAGAACGCAGCAAAAUGCGAUAAGUAAUGUGAAUUGCAGAAUUCAGUGAAUCAUCGAAUCUUUGAACGCACAUUGCGCCCGCCAGUAUUCUGGCGGGCAUGCCUGUUCGAGCGUCAUUUCAACCCUCAAGCACAGCUUGGUGUUGGGACUCGCGUUAAUUCGCGUUCCCCAAAUUGAUUGGCGGUCACGUCGAGCUUCCAUAGCGUAGUAGUAAAACCCUCGUUACUGGUAAUCGUCGCGGCCACGCCGUUAAACCCCAACUUCUGAAUGUUGACCUCGGAUCAGGUAGGAAUACCCGCUGAACUUAAGCAUAUCAAUAAC